rnacentral:tRNA from 1 species
UGGCUCAGUUGGUAGAGCAUGGUGUGUGCAACGCCAGGGUUGUGGGUUCGACUCCCAC